ACAGGCGUAGUCGAUGGAUAACCGGUUGAUAUUCCGGUACCCGCUGUGAAGCGUCAAACAUCGAAUCAGGCGAUGCUAAGUCCGUGAAGCCGUCCCGAUCUCUUCGGAGUUGAGGGAAGUGGUGGAGCCGACGGACCAGACUUGUAGUAGGUGAGUGAUGGGGUGACGCAGGAAGGUAGUCCAGCCCGGGCGGUGGUUGUCCCGGGG
rnacentral:rRNA from 1 species